GAAGAAACCGAUACUGAAAGGCGGCCCAAAGCCUUCCGGUGGCAGCAAGGUAUGGAAAAGGAAGAGCGACGAUAAUAAUGACGACAAUGACAAAUCCAAGGCGCAUGCUCGACCGCAUCAACAGAAUCCACCAUCGAGAAGCAUACCAAAAAAGGGCAACAGAAAUGUCGGUAGAGGCAACCGAGGGAAGGAAC
rnacentral:snRNA from 1 species